UUAAAAAAUUAUUUUUAAAAAUGGCCACCACAUAUGCUCAAAUGGUCCCUGUGAGGUCCUAUGCCUUGCCAGGCCUCAAGAGAGGCCUUUUGAGCAUGUGUGGCAAUCUCCAAAAUGGCCUCUACACUGAUCUUUGUAGGCCCAAACAGGCCUGAAAAUUAGCCCGAGACAGGCUGCGGCAGUGAUCUAAGAGGUCAGCGGCGGGAGGGGGAACCUUUGCAGGACCCCCCCUCCCCCGCGGCCUUUAGGAAGCCCUCCGAAGGGGCUACAGGAACAAUUUCCUCACUGAUGGUCUGUUUAAGAACUGCUGAACGUUCACCAUGGAAACUCUGCAUAUUGAAGACGUAAUUCUAGGGCACACUUCCAUGCAAUUUUAUGCAAGACAGCAGUCGGGCCUAUUGCCUUUCGUCAUGAACUGUAAGUAGAUUCUAGAACAGUGAUCUUCACUAUUUUUCAAGUAGGGGCGACUUUGGCAAAAACACUCCACCAAAAACCCCUGAGUGUGAAAGCUGUGUUCCUCCAUGCAGUGCUGCACUUUCCCCUAGAGCUGGGAGGGCUCUCAAGAGAAACAGUGACUAGCUGAGCCAUAGUGCUAUCUUGGAAGGUCUGAACCUUCCCAUAGAGCUCUAUGGGGGGAAACAACAAGAAGCACUACACUUCCCACCAUGCCCUUCCAAGAUGUCACUGGGGCUCACGAGGCUCUGUUUCCAGACCCAUCAACACUUGGCAAAGCUCAGCACUACAUUCUGCACAGGCAUAAAAACCAAUCAGGGAGCUGCACUUAGGGUCAAUGGGGGCUGCCACUGGCUAGGCCUUGCAAUGAACACUGCCUAGAACUUAAGCAACACACUCUUGAGACUACGCAUUGCAGGUAAAGGUUGUGCCUGUUUAGAUGUAACAUGGAUCCAGGAUUCAGUCCUGUCUUUAUGCGACGUCUCCUAGAGGUGGGAUCACCUGAUCCCCAUUUGUGAGGCUCUGAAGAAUUAUUUGUCAAAUUCUGUUUUAGAUCAAUCCAGGAUUGCUCUUCUGAACUGAGCAAUCCUGGCUUGUUCUAAAGCAGAACUGGAAGUGGACUUUUUUGUUUGAGCCUCACAUAUGAAUUGUGGGGGUGGGGGUGGACAGGUUCCUGAGGCUAGGAGAUACAGUUGUCCCUCGCCAACUGCGGGUUUCCCAAUCGUGGUUUUGAGUAUCUGUGCCUGGGAAAUUGUGGCAGGUCUCGCCAAUGGCAACCUGAGUAUCCUGAGUUUGACAAGUUUUUAUUUCAAUUUGGGUUUGGGGUUUGGGUUUUUUUUGUGAUUUCUGGGGUCAGGUGUCAUUUUGGGGGUCCCCUUCACUUCUCUUAUUGACUCCUGGUGAUUUGGGGAGAUUUCUCCCUAUUGUUUUUUACUGCUUUUUUUUUUUUUUGCAACCAUGAUUCCCCUAACCCCAUUUGCUAUUGAUUACAAUGGCUUGUCUACCGCAAAUUCGCCAACCGCAAGGUUUUCCCGGAACGGCACCCUCGCAGUUGGCAAGGGACGACUGUAUUGAGCGAAGCCAGGAUUUAAUCCUUAAUCCGUCUUACCUAUGAACCAGCCCAUAGGUUGCGACAGACAAGCUAUCCUUCAGGGAGACUUCUCUGCCAUUACUGAUCAUUAAAGAACCUGACAAGACCCAGAGAAAUUCCACACUUCCCUGCAACACAGUGGGUUGGUCAAGAUGAGAUGCUGGCUACAACACAUGAUCAGGACCAGUGUUCCCAGAUGUUGUUUACUACAACUCCCAGCAUCCCCAGUUGCAACAGCCUUUGCUUGGGAAUUAUGGGAGUUUUAAUCAACAUCUGGGAAUUCCUAUUAGAGGGAACACUGAUCAGGACAGGGUCAUGCUGAGAGUGUGCCUGCAGAAUGUUCCAACACACUAUCAGGGCAUCCAUUAAUUUUAUGAAGGAGAAUUCAGAUGAAUAUUCUCCUCACAUACUUAAGGAAUGCCCUGGCAAUCAGCUGCUAACUAGGCAAAAUGUUCCCUGCUAAUGUCUCUUUGGAACUCUCUUCCCCUUCAGAUUCGUUUAGCCCCUUCCUUACUGAUUUUCAAAUCUCUAUUGAAGACUUUUCUUUUUUGCCAGGGUUUUGCCCUGUAGUUUACCUAUUUGUGUUUUUUUGUCUUGUUUUUUUUGUUAGUUACUUUAGUUAUUAAUUUAGAAUGUAAUUUUUAAUGUCUUGUUUUGCAUGUUUUUGUGCACCGCCCAGAGUCUUUGGAGUGGGCGCUAUAUUAAGUAUUUCAAACAAACAAACAAACAAGGCAAAGAGGCACCUUUCUAAGUGGUGAUCCUCUUAUAUUUAGCGAAGGGAAAGCAACUGGCCCUAUUCGACCCCAGCACUGCACCCCUCUAGUGGCUGCUGCUGGUGUCUACUUCGUAUUUCUUUUUGGAUUACAAGCCCUUUUGGGGAUAGGGAACCAUCUUAUUAUUAUUAGUUUUCUCUGUUAACUGCUUUGAGAGCUGUUUGUUGAAAAGCGGUAUACAAAUAGCAGUAAAUAGUAGUAGUGACAGCAUUUCACAAUGUUCUCCGGUGAUGUCAGGGUGGGCGCAGUCUCAGUCUCAGUGAGACCUCAUCCUGAUCAUGUUUUGCAGCCAGCAGUUUGUCCAAGCCUGUCCAGUAUGAAACUCUCUGUAGCCCAGUAUCACAGCCCAAAUGCCAGGGUAGGGUGGUGCCAGGAAGGAAACAGAAAUAUUUGAUAUUAUGACUGAGCAGAAAUGAUUAUUUCAGUUCAGGUCAUUUAAGGAACGUUUAAUCAAGCCAAGUUUGUUCCACAGCUUUCUCCCUCUUUAAAAAAAAAAGGGCACAAAAGACUGUGUUGGACUAUGUCAUACAUACUAUCACUUUGUCUUAGUCCUUAGUCAAACAAAAACCAUAAUUAUGACAUAACAGAAAUCCCCCCCCCCACUCAACUCUGAUCUUUCUAAUGCUCUGUAAUAACUGAAAUUAAUUGUUUGUUUUAGAAAGGUCAUUGAUGUGGAUGUUAGUAAGAGGAAAAUAAAGCCCUUUAUUUCUAUAUAGUCUAUAAUACACUAUGUUAUUUUGUCAAACCUCUUGAAUGAAGUGUGCUGGACAGUUUCUACGGGGAAAUGUCUCUUCACUUUCCUUUCCUAGGUUAUUUGUAUUCCAUUUCACAGCCUGAUUUCACUGCAUAAAGGGCAAGGAAAGUUUACUGAACAGAGAGACCUCAGAGUCUAAAAUAUCAAACAGUGAGGUGACCUCAAAGAAAAUUCCUUUAGGGGGGAAAAGGUGUGUGUGUGGGGGGCAAGAAUAGAGAAAAGCACACGCACACACAUACCCAAACAGAAGUAUGGUUUCCUUACAAGCCCUGGCUGGUUCACUCCACCCAUAUCAGCCUCUGUGGUAACACAUGUUUCCUAUGAAUCUAUAUUAAGAUGAAUUUCAACCUACAAAUAACUAGAUACAGCUAUGCCGUAGGAGGGAAUUCCUCCAGAAUGAUGUCAAGUUUCUUAAGCAGGCAAAUUAAAAAUAGCACAUAAAACCUGACCAGCCAUCUUGGCUCUGAAUCCACCAACACAUUUGGGAAACAUUAUCAGGUUUAUCGUAGGUGGGUGGGGGAACAUAUCACAGUAAAUCUGCUUCUGUUUAUAUACCAUUUUAUUAUUCAUUUUUGACAUUUCCCUUUAUUCUUCAACCAGUUCCUCCCUUGCCCCCAGCAAAUAAACAUUAGCCUGCGCUGAAAUGCAAAACAGUGUUGGACUCCUCUCCCACUCCACAUGUGAAAGACUAGAAAGAGCCAAUUUGAACCACAAAUUGAAAAGUUACCAUUUGCUCUAGUUUCUAAGAAAUGCAAAUACAAGAAAACUUUGGAGGCCACUGCAGUUACUCAGCUAAAAAGUAAAAAGGAAGUAACCCACGCUUGAUGCGAAGUGGACUAGACAGGUUAGACGUGUCACAGGAUAUCUUGUAUACAGAAUAUUAUGCAAUAUAACUUUCAAGAAAAGGUUGCUAUACCAAAAACAAGGAUGCAAAUGGACCACAUACUGUUCUGAUCCACCAGGAGAUCAUUUUCUUAAAGAUAAAAAAGCUGCAAAUUCCCAAGCGACAUAAAAUGUUUCUUAAUUGUAUGAAGAAAGUAUCUGGAAGCCAGCUGAUACAGACCAGCUAAAAUGCUGGCUAUAACUAAUAUAGGAGGGCUGAUGUGAUUGAAACUUUUUGUAGGAGAAAGUAGCCAGAUGAGGAAAAAGUCAUUUUCAGAUUGCAUAAAUUGGCCCGCCUUCAAAUCCCUCAUAUUUUUUUAAAAAAGGUUCUAUAUGUGUAGAGCCAGUGUACAAUUCGGGGGUGGGGAGGUUCAGGAUCAAAGCUGUCCCAUCUUAGGAUUCUUCUACUAUUUAUGUGCUGGAUGCUACAAGUUGGACCAAUGUGCAUGGAGUUCAUGCAUGUAGACCGGAUCCAUGAGAUUGCUCUUUCCCUCAAGUAUCAGCAGCAACAAGCCAUAUCCCAAAGUAACAUUCAAUGUCUGGAAUUUAUGCGGGCCACAGGACAGGGCAGAUAUAAAUGCAACCCUCCCACUGUAUGUAGUUCUAUACUUGUAGAGCCACAUAUCAAUAGGCAAUUGUGAUGACAGGAACAUAUGUCUGAACAUGCAUUUUAGAAAAAAUAAAUAUGGAGUUGAUGUUCCAGGAUGCAUCAAGUAACCACUGCUUCUUUAUCUGGGCAAAUGCUUUAAAACACCAACAUUUAAGAGGUUCUAUAGCAGGCCUGCUCAACUUAGGCCCCCCAGCUGUUUUUGAACUAAAACUCCCAUAAUCCCCAGCCACAGUGGCCAAUAGCCUGGGAUUAUGGGAAUUGUAGGCCAACAUCUGCAGGAGGGCCGAAGUUGAGCACCCCUGUUCUAUAGCAAUAUUCACAGGCCAACAUCUUGGCUAAUGCUGCACUUGUGCAACAAACCAAGUUAUGCUAGUGCACGAAGAUCAUGUAGCUACUGCUAAAUUCUUUUUCUAAAUCACAGGGAUUUUUUGGAACUGCACUCUGAGACAAAAGAACUGCACUCUGAAAAACAUGAGAGGCAUGUCACAGGUCGUAUGCUUCGUUGUGCAAGGGCAAACAUGUUUGAACUAGCGCAACACUAGCUAGCACAACAUUCUUACACAACUGUUAGGAGGUCAGCCACAGAAUUUGAGGAGAACCUAGUCCAACAUAGUAAAAUGUGAAGCUGUACAUAAAGCAUCUCCUUCAGACUAUCUUUUUUUCUGGUGGUUCUAGUGCCAGAUAAACACUGAAAUAUCAAGAGGCUAAAGCCUUUGACUUCAGAUUAGGCUUAGAAGUCAUUUUGCCUAAAACACCAGAGCAAUUUUUGGUCCACUGCAUUUUUAAUCAAAUUUGAUCAGAAUUGACUGUUGAUCUGUCUGAUGGUUUAAGACAUUUGCUUUCACUUUACAAAAUAUUUUUCUUUGGAGAUACUCACCCCAAAGUGGUAAUUCACACAGAACUGAAUUCUGAGCCCUAUUCACACUUUAUAUUCAAAGCACAUACAGCAGUACACUUCCAAUCUGUACCCUGCAUUUCAGGGAGUCUAUACUCAGGUUCACUUUUAAAAUGAAUAUAUGUACAGUCAUUCACACAAACACAUGUACAUGUGUACAGACACCUGUAUACAUAUACAACACAGUGUCUGAAUAGUGCUAUGGAAAGGGCCCGGUGUGUUUUGUGACAUAUGAACUUCAGUUCCAUAAACCUCUGAAGUCCAUUUGUUGCGCUUACAUCGCUUCAUGUGAUUUUUUUAAUGCUGGAUUUUAUAUAGUUUAAUUGGCCUUAUUUGUAAUUGUUAUAUAAUAUUGUAAAUCACUAGAAACAGCAGUCUUAAGAAUUUUAAAACGGAAUUAAUUAAAAGGGCACAGUUUCCAGGUGGA